rnacentral:rRNA from 1 species
CCUACGGGAGGCAGCAGUGGGGAAUAUUGCGCAAUGGGCGAAAGCCUGACGCAGCGACGCCGCGUGAGGGAUGAAGGUCUUCGGAUCGUAAACCUCUGUCAGCAGGGAAGAACGGUCACUGUGCUAAUCAGCAGUGAAUUGACGGUACCUGAGUAAGAAGCCCCGGCUAACUACGUGCCAGCAGCCGCGGUAAUACGUAGGGGGCAAGCGUUAUCCGGAUUUACUGGGUGUAAAGGGAGCGUAGACGGCAGUGCAAGUCUGGAGUGAAAGGCGGGGGCUCAACCCCCGGACUGCUCUGGAAACUGUACGUCUUGAGUGCAGGAGAGGUAAGUGGAAUUCCUAGUGUAGCGGUGAAAUGCGUAGAUAUUAGGAGGAACACCAGUGGCGAAGGCGGCUUACUGGACUGUAACUGACGUUGAGGCUCGAAAGCGUGGGGAGCAAACAGGAUUAGAUACCCCAGUAGUC